rnacentral:misc_RNA from 1 species
AGCAGCCGCGGUAAUUCCAGCUCCAAUAGCGUAUAUUAAAGUUGUUGCAGUUAAAAAGCUCGUAGUUGAAUUUCGGGAUCAAUACGUCGGUCGUGCUUCGGUACGUACUGGCGUAAUUGAUUUCUCCCCUUCUGACGAACCAUGAUGUCAUUAACUUGGUGUCAUGGGAAAUCAGGACUGUUACUUUGAAAAAUUAGAGUGUUUAAAGCAGGCUCACGCUUGAAUACAUUAGCAUGGAAUAAUGAAAUAGGACGUUCGAUCCUAUUUUGUUGGUUUUUAGGAUCAACGUAAUGAUUAAUAGGGAUAGUUGGGGGCAUUAGUAUUCAAUUGUCAGAGGUGAAAUUCUUGGAUUUAUUGAAGACUAACUACUGCGAAAGCAUUUGCCAAGGAUGUUUUCAUUAAUCAAGAACGAAAGUUAGGGGAUCGAAGACGAUCAGAUACCGUCGUAGUCUUAACCAUAAACUAUGCCGACUAGGGAUCGGAUGAUGUUAAUUUUUAAUGUACUCAUUUCGGCGCCUUA